rnacentral:rRNA from 1 species
AGAGUUUGAUCAUGGCUCAGGAUGAACGCUAGCGGCAGGCCUAACACAUGCAAGUCGAGGGGUAACAGGGAGAGCUUGCUCUUUGCUGACGACCGGCGCACGGGUGCGGAACGCGUAUGGAACCUGCCCCUAUCAGGGGAAUAGCCUUUAGAAAUGAAGAUUAAUGCCCCAUAGUAUCGAUGUACUGCAUAGUAUAUGGAUUAAAGAUUUAUCGGAUAGGGAUGGCCAUGCGUAUCAUUAGCUUGUUGGUAAGGUAACGGCUUACCAAGGCGACGAUGAUUAGGGGCCCUGAGAGGGGGAUCCCCCACACUGGUACUGAGACACGGACCAGACUCCUACGGGAGGCAGCAGUGAGGAAUAUUGGACAAUGGCCGAAAGGUUGAUCCAGCCAUGCCGCGUGCAGGAUGACUGCCCUAUGGGUUGUAAACUGCUUUUAUACGGGAAGAAACCUAUCCACGUGUGGAUAGCUGACGGUACCGUAAGAAUAAGGACCGGCUAACUCCGUGCCAGCAGCCGCGGUAAUACGGAGGGUCCGAGCGUUAUCCGGAAUCAUUGGGUUUAAAGGGUCCGUAGGCGGGCCAUUAAGUCAGGGGUGAAAGUUUGUGGCUCAACCAUAAAAUUGCCUUUGAUACU